rnacentral:rRNA from 1 species
UACAGAGGGUGCAAGCGUUAAUCGGAAUUACUGGGCGUAAAGCGCGCGUAGGUGGUUUGUUAAGUUGGAUGUGAAAUGCCCGGGCUUAACCUGGGAACUGCAUUUGUGACUGCAUGGCUAGAGUUUGGCAGAGGGGGGUAGAAUUCCACGUGUAGCAGUGAAAUGCGUAGAUAUGUGGAGGAACACCGGUGGCGAAGGCGGCAUCCUGGACCAAUUCUGACGCUGAGGAGCGAAAGCCAGGGGAGCAAACGGG